CCUACGGGAGACAGCAGUGAGGAAUAUUGGUCAAUGGCCGUAAGGCUGAACCAGCCAAGUAGCGUGAGGGAAGACUGCCCUAUGGGUUGUAAACCUCUUUUAUGCGGGGAUAAAGGUGUCCACGUGUGGAUGUUUGCCGGUACCGCAUGAAUAAGGACCGGCUAAUUCCGUGCCAGCAGCCGCGGUAAUACGGAAGGUCCGGGCGGUAUCCGGAUUUAUUGGGUUUAAAGGGAGCGUAGGCCGGUCUUUAAGCGUGCCGUGAAAUGUUGUGGCUCAACCAUGGGAGUGCGGCGCGAACUGGAGACCUUGAGUGCGCGGAAGGCAGGCGGAAUUCGGAGUGUAGCGGUGAAAUGCUUAGAUAUAACGAAGAA
rnacentral:rRNA from 1 species